rnacentral:rRNA from 1 species
CAGGCCUAACACAUGCAAGUCGAGCGGAAACGAAGAGAGCUUGCUCUCUGGCGUCGAGCGGCGGACGGGUGAGUAAAGCGCAGGAAUCUGCCCGGCAGAGGGGGAUAGCCCGGAGAAAUCCGGAUUAAUACCGCAUACGCCCUACGGGGGAAAGCAGGGGAUCUUCGGACCUUGCACUGUCGGAUGAGCCUGCGUCGGAUUAGCCAGCUGGUGGGGUAAAGGCCUACCAGGGCGACGAUCCGUAGCUGUUCUGAGAGGAAGAUCAGCCACACUGGGACUGAGACACGGUCCAGACUCCUAUGGGAGGCAGCAGUGGGGAAUAUUGCACAAUGGGCGAAAGCCUGAUGCAGCAACGCCGCGUGAGCGAUGAAGGCCUUCGGGUCGUAAAGCUCUGUCUUCAGGGAAGAAAAAUGACGGUACCUGAGGAGGAAGCCCCGGCUAACUACGUGCCAGCAGCCGCGGUAAUACGUAGGGGGCGAGCGUUAUCCGGAAUCAUUGGGCGUAAAGGGUGUGUAGGCGGUUUGGUAAGCGAGAGGUGAAAGGCUAUGGCUCAACCAUAGUAAGCCUCUC